AUUGAACGCUGGCGGCAGGCCUAACACAUGCAAGUCGAGCGCCCCGCAAGGGGAGCGGCAGACGGGGGAGUAACACGUGGGAACGUACCCUUUGGUUCGGAACAACCCAGGGAAACUUGGGCUAAUACCGGAUAAGCCCUUACGGGGAAAGAUUCAUCGCCGAAGGAUCGGCCCGCGUCUGAUUAGCUAGUUGGUGGGGUAACGGCCCACCAAGGCGACGAUCAGUAGCUGGUCUGAGAGGAUGAUCAGCCUCACUGGGACUGAGACACGGCCCAGACUCCCACGGGAGGCAGCAGUGGGGAAUAUUGGACAAUGGGCGCAAGCCUGAUCCAGCCAUGCCGCGUGGGUGAUGAAGGCCCUAGGGUUGUAAAGCCCUUUCGGCGGGGAAGGUAAUGACGGUACCCGCAGAAGAAGCCCCGGCUAACUUCGUGCCAGCCGCCGCGGUAAAAC
rnacentral:rRNA from 1 species